UUUGUUUUCUUCAUUGUAAUAAGAGUAACCCUUAGGCCAGUCCCUCACAAGUUUCUCACUCACUCCAAAUUUUCUUUCUGCUGCUCGAUUACCGUUUUCAGCUGCAUAUUUUACUACCUGCAGUUUCCUACAGCUUCUGUUUCUU